GCGGGGAGGAGGGGUGGAUUUGACAGGUAGCGCGUGGUGGUGAGUAUUAAAGAGAACAUGUUCGUCAUGGUUGCAGUGCCAAAGAGAGAAUCGGGAGUGCGCAUGAAGGGAUGGGAUGGGUCCGAUGGGUAGUGCAUGAGUGUGAGUUGAUGAUUACUUAUGUACCCAUUCAGAUUAAAUUGGUUGAUUUGUCUCUGCUUUCGGCUGCAGAGAUUGAUUGGCUUAAUAACUAUCACUCACUAGUCUGGGAAAAGGUUUCACCAUUGUUGGAUGGCUCUGCUCGCCAAUGGCUUUGGAACAACACUCUGCCUAUCGUCCAUGAGAAAAUUUAAUGUUUUUCAUGUUAAUGUGCUAUGGUACUCGAGGUUGACAUUCUGGCCUGCUGCCUCCACGUCUAUUUUGUCUAUACUGCUUAUCUACAUCAUUCAUAUAGGAAACUCUGUGAAAUGUGAAUAAAAUAGUGAGUAGGGAUUACAUGAAUUUGAUCAUAGGAUCUUUGGCUGGACAAAUGAGCAUUUAGCCAUUUGCACCCUUUUAAGUAUGCUUACUUGUGAGAUUCAAUAUAAUUUUUUAAGCUGUUGUGAAAGUUUACCCUCUCAACUCUGUAUCUUAGAAGUUAUAUAUUAAACAAAAAAUAAUGAUACAGUCUCGAAUUUCUUGCUU